GUGACUAAUCUGCAACAGUACACCUAUUGUGUCGACGCAUUCGUUCUCGCUCAUUUGCAGUUCAUGAACAUCCUAAAUGUGUGUGUUACCUUGUUUGUCUCUUCUUAAACAAUUAAAGUGAUUUGAAAAUCGGCAAACUACCGUUGCCUUAAUUAACGACAUGAAAUUAAAACAUUGUGUUUGUAAUACACGAGUUUAGUCAUACUUAUUCGUAAAUUUCUGGAAAAUAUUGCACAUUACUCUGUUUGCUUCUUGUUCACACAUCGUUGUCAAUAUAAUGGAAUUGAAUGCAACUGUCA
rnacentral:lncRNA from 1 species